GUCUGGGAAGGGGUUGGGGGAUGUUGCCGAGUGUCCAGGGUGCAGGCUGGAGUGUCCUCACCUGGUCAGGGGCCGGCAACAGAGAGGCAGGGUGGAUUUGGGACACUUAUGAGGACCUGAGGACCCGUGUGUGUGUGUGUGUGUGUGUGUGUGUGUGUGUGUGUGUGUGUGUGUGUGUGUGUGCGCGCCCUGGCGGCGGGGGUGAGGAGGAGAGGGUCCAUGCUGCAGGUUUCUGGCCCAGCCAGUGGUGUGGGCACCUCCACAGAGAAAGAGCAGUACGGAAAGUAUGGAACAGUAUGGAAUGCCAACUGCAUCUUUCAAGGUGGGCAGAAUCUACAGGGUUGUGGUAGGGGAGGAAACAGCCUGUGCAAAGGCAUGGAGGCCACUGAGGGACCCAUGGUAGUGGAGUGUGGCCGGGGCAUGAAACACGAGGUUGGACACAAGGUACUGGAGAUUUGGGCCUUUUUUGUGUGUGUGGCAUUGGGAAAACAAUGGUGAUUAUUCCAGCGAUGAAGGAGAAAGCCCUGGGAGGAGGCAGAAAGAAAACUCUAGACGAGAGGCCAGUCAGGGGAGGGGGUGAGGGACUCGGUCAUUGCCCAGGCAGUGAGCCCCAUGGCUGUGAGGACACAGAAGCCCACUCUCUUCUCGCUGCUGUUGCAGGAAGGCUGAUGGCAAGAAAGGAACCCGGCCUCCUACUCAGAUGAGGCCAGGGGGUGGCCUCCCCGGGGACUACCUGGGACUCCUGUUUUACCUGCAGUCUCCUGGCCCCACCUCUAGUGAGCCAGUGACCCAGCCGCAGGCAGCUCCUCUGUCUGGAGACAGGACAGUGGUCCAAGCAACUGCCUAGCAAGGGGCUGUGUCACAGAAACAGAGGUGAUUUGAACUCUCCCAGCCUCAGUUUCCAGCCUCACCUUUAAGGUGGGGGUAACGACUUUUUUCUACCCAAGCCUCCUCCUCCCUGGAGAGUUCCCUGUCUUUGAGUUCAGAGCUCCUCCAGGCUCUGCAACAGGCCAUCCUGUCCUCCCCCCAGCCCAGCGGAUUCUGCUUCCUUCUUCUUUCCACUCUGUCGUAUCCUCUCCUCUCCUCUCCUCUCCAUGUCCACCUCCUACUUAAACACCGCUUGCCUGCAGCCAGCCUGGGCGCCUCCGGCCUGGGUGAAGGAAGCAGUCUUCUCACGGGUCUCCCUGUCUCCUGCGCAUGCACCCACCCCUCACUGUCUCUGCCCACAUCCAGGAUGAUCUUGUCAAUUGCAAGACAAUCAUGUCACUUCUCUGCUUGCAAACCCUCCCAAGACCAAGUCCCCACUCCUCCACUGCAUCCAAGCCUUCCCAUCUGGCCUUGGCCUUCAUCUCCCAUAGAUCGGGGCUUGUCCUUGAUGAUCUCCCCGGCCCCCAUCCAUGAAGUUGCUAUUCUUGCCACACUUCUUGCAGGCCCCUGAGACCAUCUCCUCGGCAUCCUGCAGCUCUGGGCUUUGCACCUGCGUCUACUGUUCUGAAAUGUCCGUCACCCACAUCCUGGGCCUGACUCACUCCCACUCAUCUUUACCUCAGGCAUCACCUCUGGGCCUUCAUCCUUUAUGCCUCAAUUCGUCUCCCUAUAACAGGGGUAUGAUCCCUUGUAACUGGAGAUGGUCUUAGGGUCUUAAUUGACUACAAGCAACUAAGUUAACUGAGACCAAAGAAGAAGUCUAAAAUGCUAACGAUGCCUUGGCUGCAUUAAUAGAGAUACAGAGUCCAAACAAGAGAGGUGAAUUAUUUGGCUCUUGUCAGACCUCCAUGACUUGUCCAACUGUUCUGUGGGCCUUGUGAUCAUUUCCUGUGCCUUGCUUUAGGAAGGAUAUUGACAAAGUGGAUCAUAUCAUUGAUACUUUCACCUCAGUUCACUGAAUUUGCUUGCCAUUCGUCAAACAUGUAUAUGCCAGGCACUACAGGUGUAUAGUCACAUUUAAUGCCAUAAAGCAUUAUGAUCUCCUUUGUACAGAUGAAGAGGAAGUCACAAUAAGUCAGGGAGAAGAACCUUUCCCAGCUGUGGCCAGAGAGAGAUGUGACACCAGGGAAAGGAUCAGAGAGUGGCUGAAGACAGAGGGAGGGGCCAAGAGUCAAGGAACAUAAGUGACUUCGGGAAGAUGGAAAAUGCAGGAAACAGAAUCUCCCCUAAAGGCCCCAGAAAAACAGCAUAGUCCUGCCUACUCCUUGAUUUUAACCCAGUGAGACCCAUGUCAGACUUCUGCCUAUGGAACUGUAAGAUGAUAAUAAAUGUGUGUUGUUUUAAGCCA
rnacentral:lncRNA from 1 species